rnacentral:rRNA from 1 species
GUGAGGAAUAUUGGUCAAUGGUCGGAAGACUGAACCAGCCAUGCCGCGUGAAGGUCAGUGCCCUAUGGGCGUUAAACUUCUUUUGUGUGAGAGCAAUAAGGACCUCGUGAGGUCCGAUGAGAGUAUCACACGAAUAAGCAUCGGCUAACUCCGUGCCAGCAGCCGCGGUAAUACGGGGGAUGCGAGCGUUAUCCGGAUUUAUUGGGUUUAAAGGGUGCGUAGGCGGCCUGUUAAGUCAGCGGUGAAAUAUCCUCGCUCAACGAGGAGACUGCCGUUGAUACUGGUGGGCUUGAAUGCGGAUGCCGUUGGAGGAAUGUGUGGUGUAGCGGUGAAAUGCAUAGAUAUCACACAGAACACCGAUUGCGAAGGCAUCUGACGAAUCCGCGAUUGACGCUGAUGCACGAAAGCGUGGGUAUCAAACAGGAUUAGAAACCCUAGUAGUCC